rnacentral:piRNA from 1 species
UGCCAAUUAUGUAUAGGCAUAAGAUGGA